rnacentral:rRNA from 1 species
UACGUAGGCAGCAAGCGUUGUUCGGAAUUACUGGGCGUAAAGAGUGUGUAGGCGGUGCUCUAAGUCUGUUGUGAAAUCUCCCGGCUUAACUGGGAGGGUGCAGCGGAAACUGGAAUGCUCGAGUAUGGGAGAGGUAAGCGGAAUUCCUGGUGUAGCGGUGAAAUGCGUAGAUAUCUGGAGGAACACCGGUGGCGAAGGCGGCGUUCUGGACUGCAACUGACACUGAGGAACGAAAGCCAGGGGAGCAAACGGG